rnacentral:rRNA from 1 species
UUUUAUUUGAGAGUUUGAUCCUGGCUCAGGAUGAACGCUGGCGGCGUGCCUAACACAUGCAAGUUGAGCGAUUUACUUCGGUAAAGAGCGGCGGACGGGUGAGUAACGCGUGGGUAACCUACCCUGUACACACGGAUAACAUACCGAAAGGUAUGCUAAUACGGGAUAAUAUAUUUGAGAGGCAUCUCUUGAAUAUCAAAGGUGAGCCAGUACAGGAUGGACCCGCGUCUGAUUAGCUAGUUGGUAAGGUAACG